rnacentral:rRNA from 1 species
UGGAUAACCUACCUAUAAGACUGGGAUAACUUCGGGAAACCGGAGCUAAUACCGGAUAAUAUAUUGAACCGCAUGGUUCAAUAGUGAAAGACGGUUUUGCUGUCACUUAUAGAUGGAUCCGCGCCGCAUUAGCUAGUUGGUAAGGUAACGGCUUACCAAGGCAACGAUGCGUAGCCGACCUGAGAGGGUGAUCGGCCACACUGGAACUGAGACACGGUCCAGACUCCUACGGGAGGCAGCAGAG